GGCACCAUGGCUUAGUUGGUUAAAGUGCCUGUGUAGUAAACAGGAGAUCCUGCGUUCGAGCCCCAGUGGUGCCU